rnacentral:rRNA from 1 species
GUGGGGAAUUUUGGACAAUGGGCGCAAGCCUGAUCCAGCAAUGCCGCGUGCAGGAAGAAGGCCUUCGGGUUGUAAACUGCUUUUGUACGGAACGAAACGGUCCUGGCUAAUAUCCGGGGCUAAUGACGGUACCGUAAGAAUAAGCACCGGCUAACUACGUGCCAGCAGCCGCGGUAAUACGUAGGGUGCGAGCGUUAAUCGGAAUUACUGGGCGUAAAGCGUGCGCAGGCGGUGCUGUAAGACAGGCGUGAAAUCCCCGGGCUCAACCUGGGGAUUGCGCUUGUGACUGCAGUGCUGGAGUGCGGCAGAGGGGGAUGGAAUUCCGCGUGUAGCAGUGAAAUGCGUAGAUAUGCGGAGGAACACCGAUGGCGAAGGCAAUCCCCUGGGCCUGCACUGACGCUCAUGCACGAAAGCGUGGGGAGCAAACAGGAUUAGAUACCCGGGUAGUCC